CAGGAAACCCCUGACACUAUGGUGGAACCAUUUUUCUGUGGUUCUUACACUGAAUCUGAGCCGACAUGCAUGAUGCAUCAUCAGAGGCCAAAGAAGAUGGUGGCUUUUGAAGGUGCUUUUACUGGGAGGCGAUUCCUGGGUUGUCCUGUGCAGCAGGAUGUAGGUGUGAACUGUGGGGUUGUGGAGUGGGUGGAUGGUCCUCGGCCAGAGAUUCUACAAAGGUGCCUAACAAGGAUUUGGGACAUGUACCAUGAGCAGAACUUGGGGAGGGUGAAGGACAAACAAGCCCAUGAGAAAGAGGUGGCCAAGCUAUAGAACGAAAUUGAUUUCCUGUCAAACAACUACAGCUAG
rnacentral:rRNA from 1 species